AAUUGUUCGCAAUGGGCGCAAGCCUGACGACGCAACGCCGCGUGGAGGAUGAAGGUCUUCGGAUUGUAAACUCCUGUUGAUCGGGACGAAAAGCUCCAACCCAAUACGUUGGAGACUGACGGUACCGGUUGAGGAAGCCACGGCUAACUCUGUGCCAGCAGCCGCGGUAAGACAGAGGUGCCAAGCGUUAGGCGGAAUCACUGGGCUUAAAGCGUGUGUAGGCGGAUCGUUAAGUACCUUGUGAAAUCCCACGGCUCAACCGUGGAACUGCUGGGUAUACUGGCGAUCUUGAGCCACCUAGGGGCGAGCGGAACAAACGGUGGAGCGGUGAAAUGCGUAGAUAUCGUUUGGAACGCCAACGGUGAAAACAGCUCGCUGGGGGUGUGCUGACGCUGAGACACGAAAGCCAGGGGAGCGAAC
rnacentral:rRNA from 1 species